rnacentral:tRNA from 1 species
GGAAUGAUAGCUCAGCGGUUUGAGCUUUGGCUUGCUAAACCAAGGCUUGUGAGUUCAAUCCU